rnacentral:lncRNA from 1 species
CUCAGUCAAUAUACUUCUUUCAGGUCAAUAUAUCCUUGUAUCGACCUCAUACAAAAGCUAUAUUUGUAUAAUAUCAAAUCACAGAAAAAGUUCUAUAUGUGAAUGUGAUUCAGAGAGAAUCUUGGAUAUAAAGGAUUGAAUUGCAAAAGUUUAAAAAAAAACCUUUCAAAAUCAAAACAACCUGAAAAUUCAUAAUUCCAUUAUAUUUUGUUAUGGCCAUUAGUGUUCUGUAUAAUAAACAUUCAAACAGUAAAACUUUUCUGCAGAUGUCACAUACCAAUAUUUGAUUUACUGAGGUCUCGCCUUUCAGGCUCUUGUUAAUGAUGUGCAAUCUCAUAUCUUUGUUUUAUUGUUUGUUGUGAACUCAUUAGAUUUCAAAUACUGUGGAUUCAUUAUUAUUCGUUGGAUACCAAUUUUCGUGGAUUUCGUGGGUACAGGAGAACAACGAAUUUAGAUGUUCAACGAAUAACACAUUUUCUAAAGGAAUGAAUGCAGACUGUGCCAACCAUGAAUUUAAAUAUCCACGAAUACGCAAGUUUUCUUCAAUCCACGAAACUUGGUAUCCACGAAAAUAAAUGAAUCCACAGUAUUCAUUAAAUUAUAUAUACUCAUUGUUAUACAUAAAGAUGUAUGUAAUAAUACUAUCAUAAACUUGUGUGUUUUGUUUUUAUGUUUCUGAGAGUGAGACAUCAUUAUCAGAUGAAACCAGCCCAUAAAAUUACACUUGAAUAAUUACAAAAACAAGAGAUA